CCUACGGGGGGCAGCAGUAGGGAAUAUUGGGCAAUGGGCGCAAGCCUGACCCAGCGACGCCGCGUGAGGGAUGAAGGUCUUCGGAUUGUAAACCUCUUUCAGUAGGGAAGAAGCGAAAGUGACGGUACCUAAAGAAGAAGCACCGGCUAACUAUGUGCCAGCAGCCGCGGUAAUACAUAGGGUGCAAGCGUUGUCCGGAAUUAUUGGGCGUAAAGAGCUCGUAGGUCGUUUGUCGCGUCGAUUGUGAAAAUCUGAGGCUCAACCUCAGACCUGCAGUCGAUACGGGCAAACUAGAGUGUGGUAGGGGAGACUGGAAUUCCUGGUGUAGCGGUGGAAUGCGCAGAUAUCAGGAGGAACACCAAUGGCGAAGGCAGGUCUCUGGGCCAUAACUGACACUGAGGAGCGAAAGUGCGGGGAGCGAACAGGAUUA
rnacentral:rRNA from 1 species